rnacentral:lncRNA from 13 species
GACAGUCUGAACAAAGUGGCAAUCAGAGACCAGGUAGGUUCAAAGCCUUCCAGAAGGGAUUGGAACGUGGCGGCAGAGUGUCUCCUCACUUUUGGAGGGUGCGAUGGAAACAGUGGUGUGUAAUUAGAAGUAGUUCAUUAGCUGUGGGUUAAUUACUCAGUUGUGGAGAAAGAACUGGUGGGGUGGCAAAGCGAAAGGAAGCAGCGAACACACAGCAGGAAGCUCCCAGUCUCCCGCCAAUUAGCAGGCAGCAUGGGGGGGCCGUUGAGCUGUGGCAGACUGGGAGUACAAAUGAGAGAAACCUCACAUCAUCUCACUCACACCACAGAGAGGGAGAAGGGAGUGAGGGAGGGAGAGAGGUGCUUUCUGCAGAGACAUCAAAAACGAUAGGCUCUUACAGAGAGCACCUUAAUGCCUAUUGCGUGCUUCUUUAAUACGUUAUGCUCUGGAGUUCUGUUCUUGUACUUUGAGAGAAAGAUGUGGUGGGGAGUUGGACAGUGUUUUGACACUCAGAGCACAUAGGUUACACCUGUUUAUCCUGCCACCACUAUAUGAUUAUUGGUAAUUAGCAGUAGAUAGCGCCUGCAGUUGUGUUGCGUGGGCGUGGCAGCGGUGC